CCAUCAAAUUAUAAUCUCCUAAUUAAGAUCUGCCCAACUCAAAUGAAAAAAAAAACAUAAUUCUAAAUGAUGUCUGCACUUCACUCCUACUCCAUCUUCCUUUCCAUUUUCAUAAUCAUCCUUAAAUCAUCAACAACAACAACAUCCCAAUCACAUCUCUGCAGAACUUCUUGCGGUGACAUUCCAAUAAACUAUCCUUUUGGCAUCGACGAUGGUUGUGGCAGCCCUUACUACAGACACAUGCUCAUUUGUUCCGACAACAACACCAAGCUUGAACUUAGAACACCAUCUGGUAAAUACCCUGUUAAGUCCAUAAGCUACUCUGAUCCUCACCUUCUUGUAUCUGAUCCAUUCAUGUGGAACUGUCAAGAUCGAGAUAACUUUCGACCCACGAGAUCUUUCAGCAUAGAUUCAAGCACGCACUUCACUGUCUCCCCUCAAAACGACUACUUGUUCUUCAACUGCGAUUCAGAGAAAGUGAUCGUCGAGCCUAAACCGCUCUUCUGCGAGAGGUUUCCGGAUAGAUGCGACUCGUCAUGCGAUAGCUCGAGCUAUCUGUGCAGACAUUUGCCCGGGUGCGGUUCAGCUUUAGGUUCUAGGGUUUCUUGUUGCUCUUAUUACCCGAAAGCAACUCAGUCUCUUAGGCUGAUGCUACAGAACUGCGCGACGUAUACAAGUGUGUACUGGAGGAGUACGGGUGCGGGGAAUGCACCGUAUGAUCAGUUUCCGGAGUACGGGAUUAGGGUUGAUUUCGAGUUUCCGGUGACUACGAAGUGCCUUCUUUGCCAAGAUACCACUAAAGGUGGUGGGGUUUGUGGAUUUGAUACGAGGACUCAGAAUUUCUCUGUGUCUUUGCAAACAAGGAAAUGUCACUACUCAUUGUAAUGAUACAAACCUUGUAAAGCAUAAGCGCAUUGGGGCAGUCGCUGGAACGGUGACGGCGGUUUCUGCAGCCGGAGCGAUUGGCGUUGGGGGUGGAGUCUUUUGGUACUUGAGGAAAGUGAGAGCCAAAGCUCCGGUCACUUGUGGAGUUCAAAGCAAUGAGAACAGAAUCUUCUGAAAGCAUGAAAACAUGUUUUAAAAAAAGAAUUAGGAAAAAGCACAAUCACACUCUUCUUUUGUCUUUUUCUUUUCUUCUUUGAUUGUGUAUACUACAAGUUUGGGAUAAAAGAAUUUUGUAUCUUUUGAUGCGUUUUAUAUAAUUAUAUAUGCAACUUAUUCAACCAAA